rnacentral:sRNA from 1 species
GUGAAGGGCAGCAGCAGGCAGAAGCUGGAUCAGAGAAACUUCACGGAGCAGGUGCAUGAGUGCAAAGACAAUGGCUACCUGCUCUCCUCCAAGAAGAUCGGUUCUGGGGCCUUCUCCAAGGUGUACUUGGCCGAUGCCACCCACGAGCGCAUGCACCACAACCCUAAGCUGUCCUCCGACCUGCAGGGCAAGCGCCACACCAUGAUAGCUAUCAAGAUGGUCUCCACAACCGAGGACCCAGUGGAGUUCUCCCGCAAGCUCCUGCCCCGUGAGAUCUCCGUCACUCAACGCUACCUACAAGUACCUGAACAUGUGCAGCUGUAUGAGACCUGUCAGAGCAGCCAGCUCGUGCUGGAGCUGGUGGCCUGGGGCAACCUGCUGGAGCACAUCAACGCUGCAUUGGAUCACCUCUGCCACCCAGGGCUGGAGAAGAAGGAAGCCCUCGGGCUAUUCUGGCAGCUGGUUAGUGCCAUGGCACACUGCCACAGCGUGGGCAUCGUGCACCAGCACCUGAAGUGCGAGAACAUCCUGCUGGACGACCAUGGCCUUCUCAAGCUGACCGAUUUUGGCUUCGCUGGCUGCAUGGGGCCCAGGAACUCACUGCUUAGCACUUUCUGCGGCUCCCCAGCCUACACAACCCCAGAGAUCCUCAUGAGCAGCAAGUAUAGCGGGGAGUGGGCCGACCUGUGGAAGGUGUCAUCCUCUAUGCCAUGGUGAGUGGGAAGCUGCCCUUCAAGGAGCGCCAGCCUCACUGCAUGCUGCACCUCAUGCACCGCGGUCCCACUCUCUGGCCAGGUCUGUUCCCAGUGCCAGGACCUGAUUCAGGGGCUGCUGCAGCUGCGCCCAAACGCAUGCCUGGGCCUGCAGCAGGUGGCUGCACACUGCUGGAUGCUGCCUGCAGCGAACAUGCUC